rnacentral:rRNA from 1 species
UACGUAGGGUGCAAGCGUUGUCCGGAUUUAUUGGGCGUAAAGAGCUCGUAGGCGGUUUGGCAAGUCGGGUGUGAAAACUUCAGGCUCAACCUGGAGAUGCCACCCGAGACUGCUAUGACUUGAGUCUGGUAGGGGAGCACGGAAUUCCUGGUGUAGCGGUGAAAUGCGCAGAUAUCAGGAGGAACACCGGUGGCGAAGGCGGUGCUCUGGGCCAGUACUGACGCUGAGGUGCGAAAGCGUGGGGAGCAAACAGG